rnacentral:rRNA from 1 species
CUACGGGUUGCAGCAGUGGGGAAUAUUGCACAAUGGGCGCAAGCCUGAUGCAGCCAUGCCGCGUGUAUGAAGAAGGCCUUCGGGUUGUAAAGUACUUUCAGCGGGGAGGAAGGGAGUAAAGUUAAUACCUUUGCUCAUUGACGUUACCCGCAGAAGAAGCACCGGCUAACUCCGUGCCAGCAGCCGCGGUAAUACGGAGGGUGCAAGCGUUAAUCGGAAUUACUGGGCGUAAAGCGCACGCAGGCGGUUUGUUAAGUCAGAUGUGAAAUCCCCGGGCUCAACCUGGGAACUGCAUCUGAGACUGGUAAGCUUGAGUGUGGUAGAGGGGGGUAGAAUUCCAGGUGUAGCGGUGAAAUGCGUAGAGAUCUGGAGGAAUACCGGUGGCGAAGGCGGCCCCCUGGACGAAGACUGACGCUCAGGUGCGAAAGCGUGGGGAGCAAACAGGAUUAGAUACCCCCGUAGUC